CCUACGGGUGGCAGCAGUGAGGAAUAUUGGUCAAUGGGCGAGAGCCUGAACCAGCCAAGUCGCGUGAAGGAUGACGGCCCUACGGGUUGUAAACUUCUUUUGUCAGGGAGCAAUUGAGUCCACGUGUGGGCUUAGCGAGAGUACCUGAAGAAAAAGCAUCGGCUAACUCCGUGCCAGCAGCCGCGGUAAUACGGAGGAUGCGUGCGUUAUCCGGAUUUAUUGGGUUUAAAGGGUGCGUAGGCGGAAUAUCAAGUCAGCGGUAAAGAUUCGGGGCUAAACCCCGUCGUGCCGUUGAAACUGAGGUUCUUGAGUGGGCGAGAAGUAGGCGGAAUGCGUGGUGUAGCGGUGAAAUGCGUAGAUAUCACGCAGAACUCCGAUGGCGAAGGCAGCAUACCGGCGCCCAACUGACGCUGAAGUGCGAAAGCGUGGGUAUCGAACAGGAUUAGAUACCCGGGUAGUC
rnacentral:rRNA from 1 species